rnacentral:rRNA from 1 species
GCGACGGGUGAGUACACGUGGGCAAUCUGCCCUUCACUCUGGGACAAGCCCUGGAAACGGGGUCUAAUACCGGAUAACACUCUGUCCCGCAUGGGACGGGGUUAAAAGCUCCGGCGGUGAAGGAUGAGCCCGCGGCCUAUCAGCUUGUUGGUGGGGUAAUGGCCUACCAAGGCGACGACGGGUAGCCGGCCUGAGAGGGCGACCGGCCACACUGGGACUGAGACACGGCCCAGACUCCUACGGGAGGCAGCAGUGGGGAAUAUUGCACAAUGGGCGAAAGCCUGAUGCAGCGACGCCGCGUGAGGGAUGACGGCCUUCGGGUUGUAAACCUCUUUCAGCAGGGAAGAAGCGAAAGUGACGGUACCUGCAGAAGAAGCGCCGGCUAACUACGUGCCAGCACCGGGGGAUUAAUACG